rfam:Candidate division CPR2 bacterium GW2011_GWC2_39_10 TT18_C0010, whole genome shotgun sequence.
AAUCAAGUCAAGUAAGGGCACAAGGUGGAUGACUUGGCGUAAGAGGCCGAAGAAGGACGUAGUAGCCUGCGAUAAGCGUCGGUGAGCUGGCAAACAAGCUCUGACCCGGCGAUUUCCGAAUGGGGAAACCCAACGAGAGUCAUGUCUCGUUACUCCUAUCUGAAUAUAUAGGAUAGGUAGAGGGCACCUGGGGAACUGAAACAUCUAAGUACCCAGAGGAAUAGACAUCAACCGAGAUUCCGUUAGUAGCGGCGAGCGAACGCGGAUCAGCCUAAACCUUUUUAAUGUUAAAGCUUACAGGCGUUGUUAAAAGGGUGUUGUGAGGUAAUUGUCCAUUCUUUGUAGUUAGUUAAGCAGUUAAAAAGUUAAUUAGUUAACUAGGCGACUAAUAAACUAGCUACAGGGAAUUACCAAAAGCUGUAACUUUUGGGUAAGGUAAAAAACUAAGAAAUUUAAUGGAAGGAAUCUGGAAAGAACCGCCAUAGAGGGUGAUAGCCCCGUACAUGAAAAAUUUCUUGGCCUUAUACGAUUAUACUCAAGUACCACGGGACACGAGGAAUCCUGUGGGAAUCUGGGAGGACCACCUUCCAAGGCUAAAUACCUCUUAUGACCGAUAGUGAACAAGUACCGUGAGGGAAAGUUGAAAAGAACCCCUGUUAGGGGAGUGAAAUAGAACCUGAAACCAUGUGCCUACAAAGAGUCGGAGCAUCUGAAUAGCGGAUGUGACGGCGUGCUUUUUGCAGAACGAACCAACGAGUUAAUGGCUGUUGCAAGGUUAAGUUGUUAUACAACAUAGCCGAAGUGAAAGCGAGCCCUAAUAGGGCGAUUUAAGUAGCAGUCAUUAGACCCGAAACCGGGCGACCUAACCAUGGGCAGGCUGAAGCGGCGGUAAGACGUCGUGGAGGGCCGAACCCACGUCAGUUACAAAUGGCGGGGAUGACCUGUGGUUAGCGGAGAAUGUAAAUUACCUUCCGGGGGUAGAGCACUGAAUCGGUUUGGGGCCUUUAAAGGUACCCAGCCGAAAUAAACUCCGAAUACCGGAAGCAAUUAUUGCAGGAGUCAGAAUGUGGGGGCUAAGCUCCAUGUUCAAAAGGGAAACAACCCAGAUCGCCAGCUAAGGUCCCUAAAUCUAUACUAAGUGGAAAACGAUGUGAAGUCGCACAGACAACCAGGAUGUUGGCUUAGAAGCAGCCAUCAUUUAAAAAGUGCGUAAUAGCUUACUGGUCAAUUGUGAUUUCGCGCGGAAAAUAUAACGGGGCUUAAGUAUAGUACCGAAGCUGCGGAUUUCGAUGCUUUGCAUCGGGAAUGUCUAAUUAACCUAAUUGAUCUAAUAAAGUUCCAAUUGUUAAAUAAAUUUUCAAUUUACAAUUCUCAAUUUUCAUUGAAUUUUCAAUGACUUAAUUAAAGAAUUAGAAAUUGAUUAAUUGGGAUUUGAUUAGAAAUUAGAAAUUGAAAAUUAGAAAUUCCGAUGCAGAGCAUCGGAGUGGUAGGAGAGCGUUCCUGUCUGGUGUGAAGCUAGAUCGUAAGGUCUGGUGGACUGGCAGGAAGUGAGAAUGUUGGUAUGAGUAGCUAUAAAGGACGUGAAAACCGUCCUCACCGUAAGUCCAAGGUUUCCAGGGCAACGUCGAUCGACCCUGGGUUAGUCGGGCCUAAGCCGAGGCAAGUAGCGUAGGCGAUGGACAGCAGGUUGAUAUUCCUGCACCGGUGUUAUUGUUCCUUAAGCUGACGCUGGAUGGUAGUCAGAGCGCACUUUUGGCUAUGUGCGUCCAAGUGUCUAGUCCCUUCGGGGGUGAAGCACGAGUGAAAGCCUGGGUAAAUCCGGGUGAUUCUGGUGAGCCAAACAGACAAGAAAAGGCUUAAAUUAAUAGAUAACGCCGACCGUACCGCAAACCGACACAGGUAGACGGGUAGAGUAUACCAAGGUGUUUCGGGAGAACCCUCUUU